UACGUAGGGUGCGAGCGUUAAUCGGAAUUACUGGGCGUAAAGCGUGCGCAGGCGGUUUUGUAAGCCAGAUGUGAAAGCCCCGGGCUUAACCUGGGAAUGGCAUUUGGGACUGCAAGGCUUGAGUGCGGCAGAGGAGACUGGAAUUCCCGGUGUAGCAGUGAAAUGCGUAGAUAUCAAGAGGAACACCUGCGGCGAAGGCGGGUUGCUGGGCCGACACUGACGCUGAGGCGCGAAAGCUAGGGGAGCGAACGGG
rnacentral:rRNA from 1 species